rnacentral:RNase_P_RNA from 1 species
GGAGCGGGUCGGACGAUCGCUGGCUGCGGCGCGCAGGCGCCGUCGCUGGAGGAAGGUCCGGACUCCACAGGGCAGGAUGCUGGCUAACCGCCAGGCGCAGCAAGCCGCAAGGCCCAAGGCGACGGAAAGUGGAACAGAAAGCACACCGCCCAAGCGGCGUCCGGUUCGCCGGCGCCGACGGCAAGGGUGAAAUGGUGAGGUAAGAGCUCACCGCGGACGUGGCGACACGGCCGGCACGCCAAACCCCAUCCGGAGCAACAUCGAAUAGGCACGCGCGCGGUCUUCCGGACCGCACAGGGCGGCCCGCCCGAGCGUGCGGGUAGAUGGCUCGAGCGGCCGGGCGACCGACCGCCCAGACGAAUGAUCGUCACGCCGGUCCGCCGGCGCACAGAAUCCGGCCUACAGACCCGCUCCACUU